rnacentral:piRNA from 1 species
UGGCCAGUUCAAAUUUUUGUCAAAUUCUUC